UCCACCUCUUCCCAUUCCGAACAGAGAAGUUAAACCUUAUCACGCCGAUGGUACUGCGAAAGCGGGAGAGUAGGUAACCGCCACCU
rnacentral:rRNA from 1 species